GACGAACGCUGGCGGCGUGCUUAACACAUGCAAGUCGAACGAAAAGAGGGAAAGAGCUUGCUCUUUCCGGAAUUGAGUGGCAAACGGGUGAGUAACACGUAAACAACCUGCCUUCAGGAUGGGGACAACAGACGGAAACGACUGCUAAUACCGAAUAAGUUCCAAGGGCCGCAUGGCCCAUGGAAGAAAAGGUGGCCUCUACCUGUAAGCUAUCGCCUGAAGAGGGGUUUGCGUCUGAUUAGCUGGUUGGAGGGGUAACGGCCCACCAAGGCGACGAUCAGUAGCCGGUCUGAGAGGAUGAACGGCCACACUGGGACUGAGACACGGUCCAGACUCCUACGGGAGGCAGCAGUGGGGAAUCUUCCGCAAUGGGCGAAAGCCUGACGGGGCAACGCCGCGUGAGUGAUGACGGCCUUCGGGUUGUAAAACUCUGUGAUCCGGGACGAAAAGGCAGAGUGCGAAGAACAAACUGCAUUGACGGUACCGGAAAAGCAAGCCACGGCUAACUACGUG
rnacentral:rRNA from 1 species